UACGUAGGGACCAAGCGUUGUUCGGAUUUACUGGGCGUAAAGGGCGCGUAGGCGGUCGACCAAGUCCGGGGUGAAAUCUUUCGGCUUAACCGGAAAGUGCCUUGGAUACUGGUCGGCUGGAGGGAGGUAGGGGCAGGUGGAACUUCCAGUGGAGCGGUGAAAUGCGUUGAUAUUGGAAGGAACGCCGGUGGCGAAAGCGACCUGCUGGACCUCUUCUGACGCUGAGGCGCGAAAGCUAGGGGAGCAAACGGG
rnacentral:rRNA from 1 species